UCUCAUCGUCGUCUGCAUCGGAGCAACAUUUCGAGGUUAGAUUGAUACUUUUAUAGCGGUUGCUAAAAUAAUAAAUGUAGUUGCAUAAAGCAAAAUGCAUUAAGUUUUUAAAAAAAGGUUUGACUAGUUGAAGAAUGAACUAAAUCUUAAUCACGAAGUAGAUGGAGUAUCAUAACUUGGUCGGGGAUGUUGCCGAAUUAGGUCUUAUCUGCAUGAAAUACCAUCAAUCACUUUUACAGAAGAAAAAAAGGUUCAGACGAUGGUGGAGCAAACCAAUCAUUAAAUACAAUUAUCUUACAGGCUAUAAUAAUUACGAAUCUGUGUUUCGAUACUUCAAAUUAAAUGACGAAGAAGAAUUCUUAAAUUUUACAAGAAUGAAUGUUCCAACUUUUGAAUUUUUGUACAACCUCGUCAAAGGAAGCUUGAUAAAAAGAAGUAAAAGGCCACCGUUACCCCCUGAGUUACGACUGAGUGUAACACUCAACUAUUUAGCACAUGGGGACUCGAUAAUGAAACUAAAUGAUUUAAUGCAAUUGGGUUAUCUACAGUGAAAACGAUCAUUCCAGAAGUGUGUAAUGUUAUUUGCAAUGUAUUAGUACCUUUGUUUCUAAUGUUUCCAACGGUGAAUCAAUUUCAAACGAUUGCAAGAGAAUUUCAAAUGGACUUGGAUUUCCCAAAUUGCAUAGGGGCUAUAGACGGAAGGCAUUGUAGGAUUAAGCAGCCACCUAAUAGUCAUGCAUUGUUUUAUAAUUAUAAGAAAUUUUAUAGUAUAAUACUAAUGGCUUGCUGUGAUUCCAAAAAAAAGGUUUAUUUGGGCAAAUGUAGGUGACUACGGUUCUUUCAAUGAUGCAGGGGUUUUCAACAACAGUGACUUAGGGCGUGGCCUUGCUAAUGGUGAAAUUGACUUGCCACGACCUCAACCCUUGCCAAAUUCUAAUAUUGUCUGUCCAUAUUUUUUGAUUGGGGAUGGAGGUUUCGGCUUGCACAGAUACCUAAUGAAACCUUAUCUGAGAAAUAAUGAUUUUCCACAGCCACAGAGAAUUUAUAAUUAUCGCUUGAGCCAUGGUAGAAGGGUUAUAGAGUGUGCGUUGGGGGAGUUAUCACAUGGUUGAUUAAUGAAAGGUGUUUAGCUUGGCAAUUAUCUACUAUUGAAAAAAUAAUAAUGUAUACGAUAUAUCUUCACAACUUAAUCAAUUACUAGAAUUUAGAAUUCGUCAGCAAUUGACCGAGUAUUUUAUCUCUAACGAAGGCGCUGUUCCAUGGCAAUGGGCCAGGGUGUAGAAAGAAUUUUUCAAAUACCUAUAUUAUUCAAAACCACUGGAAUAACAAUUUAAACAACGUCUUUUUUAGAUAUACUAGUCUUUGUAUAGGGAGCGACGAUUAUAACCUAUAUAACAUACCUGUUUUCUUAAUGUGAAGUUCCUUACUAAUCUCAUUACUAAUCAUACAAAAAAAUUCUUCAAUUUUAGGCGUGAAAGCAUGGUUUACGUCUCUUUCAUCAUAAAUCUAUAAUCGUCACUUUCCAAUAAUUUUGUUACAAUUUUCCUUUGAACAGAAUCCAUUAUGUAGCUUCCAAUGUCACAAGAAGAAUAGAGUCUUUUGUAACAUUUUCAACUGGUACUUACAAGUUUCGAACGUUCGUCGUUUCUCAGAAGCGAAGCGACAAGUGGGAUCCAGAGAGGGGAAGAAUCUCUGUAGCAUCUCAUUUUUCAUUUUGCCGUGAACUUCCUUAGGAUCAACAGCAAUAAUGGAGUUAACAGAGGAACAAAAAAAUCUAUCUUUCUUGAUUCGCUCAUCAAUACAUUCAUGAGCAAUCCUCAACUGUACGAUAAGUGUGAUGAAGAGUAUAUUUAUACACAAGAAAAAAUCAGUUUGUUAAAACAAUUGUCAGAAGAGAGAGUUUAACAUUCAUAAAUCAA
rnacentral:lncRNA from 1 species